rnacentral:rRNA from 1 species
UACAGAGGGUGCGAGCGUUAAUCGGAAUUACUGGGCGUAAAGGGCGCGUAGGCGGUUAAUUAAGUUAGAUGUGAAAUCCCUGGGCUUAACCUAGGAACUGCAUCUGAUACUGGUUGGCUAGAGUGCGGUAGAGGGUAGUGGAAUUUCCGGUGUAGCGGUGAAAUGCGUAGAUAUCGGAAGGAACACCAGUGGCGAAGGCGGCUACCUGGACUGACACUGACGCUGAGGCGCGAGAGCGUGGGGAGCAAACAGG